UAAGGAAUAUUGGUCAAUGGACGCAAGUCUGAACCAGCCAUGCCGCGUGGAGGAUGAAGGCCCUCUGGGUUGUAAACUUCUUUUAUAUGGGACGAAAAAGGGUCUUUCUAGAUCAACUGACGGUACCAUGUGAAUAAGCACCGGCUAACUCCGUGCCAGCAGCCGCGGUAAUACGGAGGGUGCAAGCGUUAUCCGGAUUCACUGGGUUUAAAGGGUGCGUAGGUGGGUUGGUAAGUCAGUGGUGAAAUCUCCGAGCUUAACUUGGAAACUGCCAUUGAUACUAUCAGUCUUGAAUAUUGUGGAGGUCAGCGGAAUAUGUCAUGUAGCGGUGAAAUGCUUAGAUAUGACAUAGAACACCAAUUGCGAAGGCAAUCCCCUGGACCUGUACUGACGCUCAUGCACGAAAGCGUGGGGAGCAAACA
rnacentral:rRNA from 1 species